rnacentral:rRNA from 1 species
AUUGAACGCUGGCGGCACGCCUAACACAUGCAAGUCGAGCGGUAGCAUGAUUAGUAGCAAUACUAAUUGAUGACAAGCGGCGGACGGGUGAGGAACACGUAGGAAUCUACCCUCAAGCGGGGACAACCAAGGGAAACUUUGGCUAAUACCGCAUAAUCUCGAGAGAGUAAAGUUACCCGCAAGGGCGACACUUGAGGAGGAGCCUGCGUCCGAUUAGCUAGUUGGUAGGGUAAGAGCCUACCAAGGCAAUGAUCGGUAACUGGUCUGAGAGGACGACCAGUCACACUGGGACUGAGACACGGCCCAGACUCCUACGGGUGGCAG